rnacentral:lncRNA from 1 species
AGUUUUUAGUAAAUUGUAGCUGGUAUCAGGGAUCAGAUCAGCGGACACGCCCAUUCCAGCAGUCAGGGGCCUGCUCGGACCGUCGUGCACCUCCGAGCGUUUCUGUCCGGUCCCUCCGGGUCCGUCUGUUUUUCGGAGGCUUUCCUGGAAAAGCCAGCCUGUGGCUACCUCCUUUCUCCCCUAAGUGAUGGAGGAUUAGAAGGCAGAGGGUGACCCACAAUCUAAAGUGCCUGGUCGCCUUUUCCCAGAUUUCCCGGAGCAUUCCUUCACCCCGUGGCAUCGGCUGUCUGCAUAUGGGUGCAAGGCCCUGUUCCGGGCGAAGAAUAAACAGGAGUUCUGACUGACAGGAGCUCCGCAGCCAGCAGGGUGGUCACUAGUUCUCUGCAGUCUCGGAGGACAGCCCUGAAGAAGGGCAGGAGAACCAGCACUUCCUCCGAAAACUCAAAAGGACAUCAGUCUUCACCAAGUUGCUGAUACAAAACGUGCUCCUGAAAUGUGUAGUUAUGAGCACCAGGAAACCUGCGUAGGAGUGUGCAUGGCAUUCUUCAUCACCGCUUGGACUGCAUGGCACUGAAUACCCACGGAGAGCAGGAUGGAGAAACAGUGUGCUCAUAUUCACAGGAUGGAAUCUAGCCACUCACAAAAAUUCCAAAACAGGCAAAAUUAAACUGCAUUCUUUAGGGAAGCAUCAUUAAGUAGUAAAUAAUUGACAGAAGGGCAAGAAGGUGCUUACUCUAAGUGUCAGAAUGGUGGAUACAGCUGGGGGUGAGAGGGCUGUGACCACAGCAGGGCCCCUGGGGGAUUUGGGGGUGCCAGGCCUGUUCCUUCCUGCCAUGGUGCCCUUCAUUUGGCAGCCAUCCCUUAAACUGCACUUUUACUUUAUAUGCUUUUCUGUACCUUUGCUGUAGUAUUUCACGGAAAUUUUUUAAUAAUCACGAAUGUUACCACUUUCCUAUUUAUGAACCAUGCAACCUCAUCAAUCUUCCCAGUUCGCAGAUGCCCACCCUCUCUCUCUGCCCCUGUCUCCUUCACAUAUCCACAAAACUCGUUUCGGCCCGAAAUCCCUGAGGCCCAACUGCCCUGCUGUCAGCGACUGCACGCCUCAGCAAAGGCCCAGAAGGCUCUGUCAUCACUGGCUGCCCUCAGCCCGCCUUCAGCUCCUUUGAGCGCUGUGUUGGGGAACUUUGUUGCAAGGAUUUCGUUCCAGAAGGCAAGAUAGUCUCUGAGGGCUUCAUUGUGUCACUUCUCUUUGGAUGGCGGACACCGUGGCCCUCUGCUGGCGGAGGGGUGCCAUUGCUGCCUGCCCCAUCUCCAUCCCCAGGGCCCAUGCAGUCACUGGGUUCGCCCUCUGGGGCACGGGGUUCCCUCUGCUCUUUUCCUAGAUAAGCCCAUUCUCUCCAGGUCUCCACCCUCCACACCUGUGUUCAGGAAUUCAGCCCGCUUCCUGCAGCCCCAUCCCUACCCUCCUCCCAACCUGCUUUUCUUCUGGUGUCCUUUACUCAGCAUGGCUAACAGAUCCACCACCCAACGGAGCUGAGAACUGCAGUCCCCUCUGCCUGCUACCUCUCUUGCCAUUAGUGAACCUGCUUAACUCAUCUGACUGUGCCUCUCGGUGCUUGCUGUGACAUGUCUCCAGCCCUUACUGCUCUGUCCCCCAGACCCACGUCCCACACCCGGAUGGUGACUCAGCCGACUCUGGGUCUUCUGGACCCAGUGCUUCUCCCUGAUACAAUUCCUUCCUCUGUGUUUUAGGAUCCUGAUGCUUUGAUAAGACCGUGGGCUCUAAUCACAGCCAGGGACAUUUGCAGCAGCCUGGCCUGCAGCUCUGCACACUGGGUGCACUCAGUCUAAAGCAGCAGCUCCCCAUGAGAGAGAAAGAAGGGGUGAGGGGAAGUACAGAGAAAGCUCCUGAGGCCACAGGGCUGACAAAGCCCUCGGCUUUGGGGGCACUUUGUUUCUUCAAGACUAAAAUGCAGGCAAUGGAAUAAAUCAUUUGUUCCUAAAA